rnacentral:SRP_RNA from 1 species
UUGGAAGAGACCCUUAGAAGAGCUGGUCAUUAUGCAGACCGGGUGUCUGCACUAAGUUCGGCAUCAAUAUGGUGACCUGGGAGCGGGGGACCACCAGGUUGCCUAAGGAUGGGUAAACUGGCCCAGGUCAGAAGUGGAGCAGGUCAGAACUCCCAGGUCGAUAGGUAGUGGGACUGUGCCUGGGCAACAUAACAGGACCUUGGCUCUUUAAAAA